GGGGCACGCGCAGCACUAGCAGAGACAGAUUCGAUCUCUUGACUCCUCUCUCCUCUGAGUCCUCUCUCAGCCGAGUGCCGACUCUUCUCUCCUCUCUCUGCUGAGUACCGAUUCGAUUCCGAUUCGAAGAAGACGUUCGCCGGUCGCCACCCAUUCGAUCUGUUCGCCUCGCCAGUCCGCCACCCAUUCGAUCUCUUCACUGAUCUGAUCUCUUCUCUCUGCCGUCCGCCGUUGCCGCCGUCGCUGUCAUCGCGGUCGUCGCAGUUGCUAAGGUUGCUCUCUUAUGCACCUAAAACCUUGAGGCCUCUCUCUUAUGCCCAGAGCUACGGUUUCAGUUCACUUUCCACCGCCAAGAAAUUGCUUCAAUUCCAAGGUUCUGCUGUGCUAGAGAGCUAGUUGAUGAUGAGAAGGAGUCUUGAAGAUGAGAGGUGCUGCUGUACUAGAGAUUACCCUUUUUGAAAACAAGUUACUGCUCAAGUUUGUUUUUCUUUAAUGUUAUGUUCUAGGUGCUCCUUUGGUAUUAGUUAUGCACUUAACUUAUUUCUUAUGGUUAUGAAAUAGAUUGAAUUUAGAACUUUAUUUGGUAAUAUAAUGAA